UACAUGGGGUGCAAACGUUGCUCGGAAUUACUGGGCGUAAAGGGCUCGUAGGUGGCCAACUAAGUCAGACGUGAAAUCCCCAGGCUUAACCUGGGAACUGCGUCUGAUACUGGAUGGCUUGAAUUCGGGAGAGGGAUGCAGAAUUCCAGGUGUAGCGGUGAAAUGCGUAGAUAUCUGGAGGAAUACCGGUGGCGAAGGCGGCAUCCUGGACCGAGAUUGACACUGAUGAGCGAAAGCCAGGGGAGCAAACGGG
rnacentral:rRNA from 1 species